GACAGAGGGUGCAAACGUUGCUCGGAAUUACUGGGCGUAAAGCGCGUGUAGGCGGACCACCAAGUCGGACGUGAAAGCCCUGAGCUCAACUCAGGAACUGCAUCCGAAACUGGCGGUCUGGAGUAGUGGAGAGGAAAGCAGAAUUCCUGGUGUAGAGGUGAAAUUCGUAGAUAUCAGAAGGAACACCGGUGGCGAAGGCGGCUUUCUGGACACUUACUGACGCUGAGACGCGAAAGCGUGGGGAGCAAACAGG
rnacentral:rRNA from 1 species